AUGGAAAAUGAGAAAAUUACAAGCAAGGAAAUGAAAGUGGAGAUUCCAUCAAGUACUGUUGGAGGUUCAAAUGUUGGACAAGGUGGUGGACUUAUGAGACAACCUAGUAUGACCAAAACUAAUUGUCUAUGUUCACCAACAACACAUCCUGGUUCAUUUCGUUGUAGGCUUCAUCGUACUCCUAGUCUCCAAAGAACCAAAAGUAUGGAACCAGGAUCAUCAGUCUCUGAUCAGUGA